CUCCUGGAAACGGGUGGUAAUGCCGGAUGUUCCAGUUGAUCGCAUGGUCUUCUGGGAAAGCUUUCGCGGUAUGGGAUGGGGUCGCGUCCUAUCAGCUUGACGGCGGGGUAACGGCCCACCGUGGCUUCGACGGGUAGCCGGCCUGAGAGGGCGACCGGCCACAUUGGGACUGAGAUACGGCCCAGACUCCUACGGGAGGCAGCAGUGGGGAAUAUUGCACAAUGGGCGCAAGCCUGAUGCAGCGACGCCGCGUGAGGGAUGGAGGCCUUCGGGUUGUAAACCUCUUUUAUCGGGGAGCAAGCGUGAGUGAGUUUACCCGUUGAAUAAGCACCGGCUAACUACGUGCCAGCAGCCGCGGUAAUACGUAGGGUGCAAGCGUUAUCCGGAAUUAUUGGGCGUAAAGGGCUCGUAGGCGGUUCGUCGCGUCCGGUGUGAAAGUCCAUCGCUUAACGGUGGAUCCGCGCCGGGUACGGGCGGGCUUGAGUGCGGUAGGGGAGACUGGAAUUCCCGGUGUAACGGUGGAAUGUGUAGAUAUCGGGAAGAACACC
rnacentral:rRNA from 3 species